GCUUGUCUCAAAGAUUGCCAUGCAUGUCUAAGUAUAAACUGCUUAUACUGUGAAACUGCGAAUGGCUCAUUAAAUCAGUUAUAGUUUAUUUGAUGGUACUUACUUACUCGGAUAACCGUAGUAAUUCUAGAGCUAAUACGUGCGUAAAUCCCGACUUCUGGAAGGGACGUAUUUAUUAGAUAAAAGGCCGACCGGGCUCUGCCCGACUCGCGGUGAAUCAUGAUAACUUCACGAAUCGCACGGCCUCGUGCCGGCGAUGUUUCAUUCAAAUUUCUGCCCUAUCAACUUUUGAUGGUAGGAUAGAGGCCUACCAUGGUGGUAACGGGUGACGGAGGAUUAGGGUUCGAUUCCGGAGAGGGAGCCUGAGAAACGGCUACCACAUCCAAGGAAGGCAGCAGG
rnacentral:rRNA from 1 species